GAUGAACGCUGGCGGCGUGCUUAACACAUGCAAGUCGAACGGAAAGGCUCCUGCUUGCAGGGGUACUCGAGUGGCGAACGGGUGAGUAACACGUGGGUGAUCUGCCCUGCACUUCGGGAUAAGCCUGGGAAACUGGGUCUAAUACCGGAUAGGACGAUGGUUUGGAUGCCAUUGUGGAAAGUUUUUUCGGUGUGGGAUGAGCUCGCGGCCUAUCAGCUUGUUGGUGGGGUAAUGGCCUACCAAGGCGUCGACGGGUAGCCGGCUUGAGAGGGUGUACGGCCACAUUGGGACUGAGAUACGGCCCAGACUCCUACGGGAGGCAGCAGUGGGGAAUAUUGCACAAUGGGCGCAAGCCUGAUGCAGCGACGCCGCGUGGGGGAUGACGGCCUUCGGGUUGUAAACUCCUUUCGCUAGGGACGAAGCGCAAGUGACGGUACCUGGAGAAGAAGCACCGGCUAACUACGUG
rnacentral:rRNA from 1 species